rnacentral:rRNA from 1 species
AUAGCUGGCUCUCCGCGAAAUAUAUUUAGGUAUAGCGUAUAAUAGUAACCAAGAGGGGUAGGGCUCUGAUAAGACUAGCGGGUUUAUUCCAACUUAGCAAAUCUUGAUAAACUUCGAAUACUCUUGGCGGAAUAUUAUACAGUCGGACAGUGACGGAUAAGCGCCAUUGUCAAAAGGGAAACAGCCCAGAUUCCUAUCUAAGGUCCCCAAGUUAUAACUCAGUGGAAAAGGAUGUGCGAUUACUAAGACAGCCAGGAUGUUGGCUUAGAAGCAGCCACUCAUUCAAAGAGUGCGUAAUAGCUCACUGGUCGAGUGAUUGUGCGCCGAAAAUUCAGCGGGGCUUAAGUUAUACACCGAAGAUGGAAGAUUUAUACAUUAGUAUGGAUCGGUAGCGGAGCGUUCUGUAAGCCUGUGAAGCAGUUGGGUAACCACCUGUGGAGGUAUCAGAAGUGCAAAUGUUGGUAUGAGUAACGUAAUGGAGGUGAAAACCCUCCACACCGAAUACCCAAGGUUUCCUGUCCUACGUCAGUCGUGGCAGGGUUAGUCGGUCCUAAGGUGCACCCGAAAGGGGCAAGCCGAUGGAUAUCUGGUUAAUAUUCCAGAACUAUAUACAAGAGGUUAUUACCUAUGUGGGGACGCAUCGCGAAUAUCGGACACUCUCAUGGAUAUGAGUGAAGAGUAAUGCUUUUGGUUGUGUAGGCAAAUCCGCACAACAAUACAAGAGGGUUAUGAUUCCUUACCCAAUACUUCUUCGGAAGGGAUAAGUAAGGUCCUGUGAUAUGAAGGUGCCAAGAAAAGCCACUCUGGGACGAAUGUAUAUAACCGUACCGUAAUCGAACACUCGUGGGUGGAUGUGAGUACAUUAAGGUGGACGGGAUAACUGAGCUUAAGGAACUCUGCAAAACAGCGGUCGUAACUUCGGGAUAAGACCUGCCUCCUCAGCAUUUAUCUGAGAGGCCGCAGCUAACGAGUCCAGGCGACUGUUUACCAAAAACACAGCUCCGUGCUAAAUCGCAAGAUGAUGUAUACGGGGUGAUGCCUGUCCGGUGCCAGAAGAUCACGGGGAGGGGUGCAAGCUCUGAACCUAAGUCCUGGUGAACGACGGCCGUAACUAUAACGGUCCUAAGGUAGCGAAAUUCCUUGUCGGGUAAGUUCCGACCCGCACGAACGGCAUAACGGUCUGGACACUGUCUCAAGCUCAGGCCCGGUGAAAUUACAAUAUCGGUAAAAAUGCCGAUUACUCGCAGCAAGACGGAAAGACCCUAUGAAGCUUUACUCUAGUUUGGCAUUGAGUCGUACGUAUAUUUGUGCAGGAUAGGUGGGAGACGCUGAAGGUGGAACGCUAGUUCUACUGGAGUCAUCCUUGAGAUACCACCCUUGUAUACGUAUGCCUCUAACCCGCCCAAGGCGGGGACCGUGCUUGAUGGGGAGUUUAACUGGGGCGGUUGCCUCCUAAAAUGUAACGGAGGCGCACAAAGGUAGGUUAGAUUCGGAUGGAAAUCGGAUCGAUAGUGUAUUCGCAUAAACCUGCUUGACUGAGAGACCUACAAGUCGAUCAGAGACGAAAGUCGGUGAAAGUGAUCCGGCACCAACACGUGGGAGUGGUGUCGCUCAACGGAUAAAAGUUACUCUAGGGAUAACAGGCUGAUCGCGUCCAAGAGUUCAUAUCGACGACGCGGUUUGGCACCUCGAUGUCGGCUCGUCGCAUCCUGGGGCUGGAGAAGGUCCCAAGGGUAUGGCUGUUCGCCAUUUAAAGCGGUACGCGAGCUGGGUUCAGAACGUCGUGAGACAGUUUGGCCCCUAUCUGCUGUGAGCGUUUAGAUACUUGAUGAGACCUGUUCCUAGUACGAGAGGACCGGAAUGGACGAACCCCUGGUGGAUCGGCUGUCAUCCAAUGGCACCGCCGAGUAGCUAAGUUCGGAAUGGAUAACCACUGAAAGCAUAUAAGUGGGAAGCUGACUCAAAGAUAAGGUAUCUCACCAGAUUUAGUCUGGAUAAGUGCCCUCGGAGACUACGAGGUUGAUAGGAUGUAAGUGGAAGCAUAGAAAUAUGUGGAGCUGAGCAUUACUAAUAGCACGAACGGUAUUUAUAU